AGUCCUAUAACGAGCGCAACCCCUAUCGUUAGUUGCCAACAGGUUAAGCUGGGAACUCUAGCAAGACUGCCGGUGCAAACCGUGAGGAAGGUGGGGAUGACGUCAAAUCAUCACGGCCCUUACGUCCUGGGCUACACACGUGCUACAAUGGUAGGGACAGAGAGCAGCCACUUCGUGAGAAGGAGCGAAUCUAUAAACCCUAUCACAGUUCGGAUCGGAGUCUGCAACUCGACUCCGUGAAGCUGGAAUCGCUAGUAACCGCAUAUCAGCCAUGAUGCGGUGAAUACGUUCCCGGGCCUU
rnacentral:rRNA from 1 species